AAGCUAGUUAGGCUUGAGAGGUCGAGAAAGGUCGGAGGAUAAUUCACGUUGACGCGAUGGAUUCAAGCACACAACACUAGAUUCUUCGAGAUUUUGCAGCAACUACUCCACAUGCUUGUACGGUCGUCCCUCUUUUCCUUACUGUGUGUCUGCCGUGAAUUCUCUGAGAAUUCAGCGAAUCGAGUAGUAAAGGAGUGGACAUGGGAGGGCCGUUCGGGCUUUAAAACCAGAGUGAUGGGCUUUAUGUAUUUGGAAAGAUAACCCUGGGAGCGACAGAAGGAAUACAUUUUUAAGGACCGUGAAAACAAAAAAUUUUUUUUCCCCUGGAGACCAAGAGGGAUUGUGAAGUAAGGAUACGUGGGACACCUGCACGAGCAUUCAGUUUCUUCCUGCAGUGUCUGAAGGUGCUGAUGCUGCUGCUGCUAAGUCGCUUCAGUCGUGUCCGACUCUGUGCGACCCCAUGGACUGCAGCCUACCAGGCUUCUCCGUCCAUGGGAUUCUCCAGGCAAGAACACUGGAGUGGGUUGCCAUUUCCUUCUCCAGUGAUAAAGUAUGAAGUGAGUGAAGUGAAGUGAAGGUACUACCCACACCUGAAGUGUCCUUGUCCUGUGGGUCCCUUCAGCCACACCUCAGGCAGGAUACAGUGUGGACUUCAUGGAGUGGAGUGGUGGAACUGAGCUAUCAAGACACCAGCUUGUUACAAAAAUACAUACUUUCUGCUUUUAGCCUCCCAGAGUCAUUUGGUAUGAGAGUCCAUUUUGAUAUUGGCAGCAAUCUCUAGUCAACUUUUGAUUUUGAAUAUAUUUUGAUUUUUUAUGGACUGUCUGGAGUACAAGGCAGAGGAACGAUGCAAUACGUGAUUUUAGUCGACCAGCAAAGGAAUUGCUUGUAGGAAGCAGGCUGUGAGCCAAGGGGAAGGCAGAGGACAGAUAUGACUGUGUUUCCAAGCUUCUGUGGUGGUUUAUGGCAUCCUCCAAACUCCUCUGCAAGGGCUGAUCCUGACCAAGACGACCCAAGGAGACCGUCUCUGAAAUCAAGUCCAGAUGAAGGACAUUGCAUCAAGAUCCCAUCCCACUGGACUACAGGACUCCUCCCUAGAGAACCAUGGGAUCUUCAGAGUCAGAAUGGAUUGAGCCAGAUUGCCGUUUCCAUACUGUGGUGACUAGGAGCUGAGUACAAGAGAUUGUCUCGGAGUAUCUUUAAAGGUUGCUUGGGAUUUGAAUUUAAGUUAUCAGGUUAAUAACUAGGCUUAAAAUAGUUACCCCUCCUGAUAGCAUAAACAAAUAUAACCCGUUCUAUUCUUUUUCCCGGCUUUGCUAGUGGCUCAGUGGCAAAGAAUCUGCCUUCCAAUGCAGAAGCCACAAGUUCAAUCCCUGGGUUGGGGAGACCCCUGAAGAAGGAACUGCAACCCAAGCCAGUAUUCUUGCCUGGGAAAUCCCAUGGACAGAGGAGCCUGGCAGGCUACCGUCCAUUGGGUCGCAAAAGAGUCAGACAUGACUUAGGACUAAACUACAAUUCUUUUUCCAUCUGAUUAAGGAUCGUUAAGAACAUGAAGAGUGGGGUUUGUGGAUAAGGUGUGUGUCCUUUAAUCCUGUCUACUCAUCCUCCCAGCCUUCAGUGUGGCCUGGAGUGAAUGAGUUGUGGAAGAGAAACAGCCCUGCUGGAAACACUGUGCAGCUGGGCCGGUGCUGCUUGCCCACUGCACGGUUGCUGGCCUCCUCAGAUGAGCAGGGCUGUGCGCACAAGAGGCUUGGAUCUAGAAGCCUCUCUGGGUUUCCACUCAUCCCUCUCAAAUCUAAAAGGGGACAGUCCUCUCAACCAGCUGAACAGGAGAGAAAGUGGAGAGGCUCCCCUGGAGGAGAGACCUUGCCAAGAACACUUUCAGCUUGGAGGCUGGAGAUGAAAGAAGAAAUACGAAGAGGAAUAGUAAGGGUUCGUGAAGCUUGUGAAAGUGACACCUGGGUCCUGCCUUUCCCUCACAGUAACUUCCGGCUGUUAGUCUGCCCUGCCCACCAGAUUAUCAGAUCCUUUCCUAGGAUGUGUAUGUGGGGAGGUAGAAGGAAUAGAGACAAGGAUCAGUGUAUGGGUGCAAUUUCUCCUCUGAGUCCAGACAAACAGUGGGUUGAGAUGAGAGGACAGUUUAAAAACCAAAAGGGCAGUCACCAUCAUGAAUAUAUUUCCCUGUUUGUAGCAUCAUUUUUCCUGGGCCCAACUUGGAAAGCGCUCAUCUCUCAGAGCCUGUCAUUCAGUAUAUUUCCAAGGCACUGAAUGACUGUCAUGUUUAAUCUUGAUGGAAGCUAUCUGAUAUGCGUUACUAGACCCAAUUUCUGAUCAGGAAGCUGAAGCUCAGGAUAACUAAUUUGCCCAAAGCCACACACAGCAAAUAAAGCCAGCAUCUGAAUCCAGGUCUUUCUGGUUCCACUAUGUCCCAAAGGAAAAUUCUUUCCUCUAGAGUAAUAAUAAAUACAAUUCUAGAAAAUUUGGAAAAUAUAAAGACAUAUAAAAGAAUAAUGAAAAUAAAAAUCAGUUGUGGUCUGGCCACCUAGAAACAACUUAUUUUUAAUUUUUGGUGUUUUUCUUCUCAGUCUUUUUCAAUGCAUAUAGUGAUAACAAAAGUAAACAUUUGUUAAGCUCUGGCUUUGUUCUGGACAUUGUUCUUAGCUCCUUUUUGUGUCAUUUUUUUCUCACAAUAAAUCAAUAAAGUGCAG
rnacentral:lncRNA from 1 species